rnacentral:rRNA from 1 species
GAGUUUGAUCGUGGCUCAGGACGAACGCUGGCGGCGUGCUUAACACAUGCAAGUCAAGGGGGCUCGCAAGAGCAACCGGCGAACGGGUGCGUAACACGUGAGCAAUCUACCGAUUUGAGGGGGAUAGCCGGCCCAACGGCCGGGUAAUACCGCAUACGCUUGAUCUGGGGAGUCCUGGGUCAAGGAAACCUUCGGGGCAAAUCGAGGAGCUCGCGGCCUAUCAGCUAGUUGGCGAGGUCAUGGCC